rnacentral:rRNA from 1 species
CAUGCCGACUAGAGAUUGGAGGUUGUUACCAGCACGACCCCUUCAGCAUCUUCCGAGAAAUCAAAGUCUUUGGGUUCCGGGGGGAGUAUGGUCGCAAGGCUGAAACUUAAAGGAAUUGACGGAAGGGCACCACCAGGAGUGGAGCCUGGGGCUUAAUUUGACUCAACACGGGGAAACUCACCAGGUCCAGACAUAGUAAGGAUUGACAGACUGAUAGCUCUUUCUUGAUUCCAUGGGUGGUGGUGCAUGGCCGUUCUUAGUUGGUGGAGUGGUUUGUCUGGUUAAUUCCGUGAACGAACGAGACCUCAACCUGCUUAAUAGUGACGCCUAACUUCGGUUAGGUGGGCAACUUCUUAGAGGGACUUUGCGUGUCUAGCGCAAGGAAGUUUGAGGCAAUAACAGGUCUGUGAUGCCCUUAGGUGUCCUGGGCUGCACGCGCGCUACACUGAUGCAUUCAGCAAGUUCUGACUUUGCCUGUCAGGGCUGAGUAGUCCUACCAAGGUGCAUCGUGAUGGGGUCAGUCUAUUGCAAUUAUUACUCUUUAACGAGGAAUUCCUAGUACGCGUGAGUCAUCAGCUUGCGCUGAUUACGUCCCUGCCCUUUGUACA